GAGUGAACAGAUCUUUGGUUUUGCCUUUGCUGACUGCUGAUCUGAUCGUCUCAAGUCUGGUGACCUGCUGCAGAAGAUCCUCUCUCUCUAUCAUUAUAAGCAAUUCUGUCUAUCCUAUCACUCUCCCGACUCUAUCUAAUUUGACAGCCAUUCUAUCUUGUAUCC